GGUAGUUCAGUGGUAGAGUGCUUGCCUUGCAUGCAUGAGGCUCUGGGUUCAAUUCCUCAGUACCA
rnacentral:tRNA from 1 species